rnacentral:rRNA from 1 species
UCUACGGGGCGCUGCAGUGGGGAAUAUUGGACAAUGGGCGAAAGCCUGAUCCAGCCAUGCCGCGUGUGUGAAGAAGGCCUUCGGGUUGUAAAGCACUUUCAGUGGGGAAGAAAGCCUUGGGGCUAAUACCCUCGAGGAAGGACAUCACCCACAGAAGAAGCACCGGCUAACUCCGUGCCAGCAGCCGCGGUAAUACGGAGGGUGCGAGCGUUAAUCGGAAUUACUGGGCGUAAAGCGCGCGUAGGCGGUCUGAUAAGCCGGUUGUGAAAGCCCCGGGCUCAACCUGGGAACGGCAUCCGGAACUGUCAGGCUAGAGUGCAGGAGAGGAAGGUAGAAUUCCCGGUGUAGCGGUGAAAUGCGUAGAGAUCGGGAGGAAUACCAGUGGCGAAGGCGGCCUUCUGGACUGACACUGACGCUGAGGUGCGAAAGCGUGGGUAGCAAACAGGAUUAGAUACCCCGGUAGUC